GUGUCAGCAGCCGCGGUAAUACAGAGGUGGCAAGCGUUGUUCGGAAUUACUGGGCGUAAAGGGCGCGUAGGCGGCUUCCUCAGUCAGACGUGAAAUCCCUAGGCUUAACCUAGGAACUGCGUCUGAUACUGGGAGGCUUGAGUUCGGGAGAGGGAUGUAGAAUUCCAGGUGUAGCGGUGAAAUGCGUAGAUAUCUGGAGGAAUACCGGUGGCGAAGGCGGCAUCCUGGACCGAAACUGACGCUGAGGCGCGAAAGCUAGGGUAGCAAACGGGAUUAGAUACCCCCGUAGUCC
rnacentral:rRNA from 1 species